AUUGAACGCUGGCGGAAUGCUUUACACAUGCAAGUCGAGCGGCAGCGCGGGGGCAACCCUGGCGGCGAGCGGCGAACGGGUGAGUAACGCAUCGGAACGUACCUUGUAGUGGGGGGAUAACUAUCCGAAAGGAUAGCUAAUACCGCAUACGCCCUGAGGGGGAAAGGGGGGGAUCGCAAGACCUCUCGCUACAGGAGCGGCCGAUGUCCGAUUAACUAGUUGGUGAGGUAAAGGCUCACCAAGGCGACGAUCGGUAGCUGGUCUGAGAGGAUGAUCAGCCACACUGGGACUGAGACACGGCCCAGACUCCUACGGGAGGCAGCAGUGGGGAAUUUUGGGACAAUGGGGGCAACCCUGAUCCAGCCAUUCCGCGUGAGUGAAGAAGGCCUCGG
rnacentral:rRNA from 1 species